AUGUGCGCACACGCGGCCUGCAAGUUCUGGGAGGCCGCCUUCGUGGGUAGCGGCCGUGGGAGCCCCGAUCCUCGCGCUCCGGUCAGUCCCGGGGGAGCACCGGGCAUCUGCGGAGGCUCAGGGCGCCCGGGCACCCGGCGAAUGUCUGAACACAGCCCCUUUGUCCUCCGUCCCCGCCCAGCGACCCAGGAUCCCCCCGACUCCCUCCCCUCGGCCAGGGUUCAGGGGGCCCCCCCACACUUGCUGCCCUCAGCCAGGGUUCACGGCCCCCCCACUGGCCACAGGCAGGUCUCUAUGGUCACUCCCACGGCGGAGCUGGACUGCGUGGGGCGCUGUGUUCAGGCCUCAGUGGUGAGUGGCAUGUCCUGGAAGAGGCAGACGCGGGGACACCUCAGCAUCCCCAGGGCGGACAGUGGGGCUGUGUCCUGGACCCCCCUACGGGCAGCAGGUGCGCUGCUCAGCAGGAGGAGGAGAACCGCAAAAGGGUCACGUGGUCUCAGGACAGGACCAGUAAACAGCAGGGGUCCCAAAAGUGCACGUGGAGGGGUGGGUGUGGGGACAAGGGAGGGAAGAGGAAAUGGGGCCAGAGGGGAGCCCGAGCGUCAGCCGUCCACCGAGGGUGAGCGCAGCAGUGGAGCAGGUGGGGGGUCCGCGGUGGGGGGUGGCCCGACAGGCCAGCAGGGCCGCAGGGACAGAGGGGACCCAGCGGGGGGCGGGGCGUGCAUGCUCCUUGCCCAGCAGCGGGGCUGCCCCAGGCCCAGUCACCGCCCCAGCCUCGACCCCUCGUGUGUGGACGGAGGUCACGGCGUGUCGCGGAGGCCACCGCAGGUCACGGGGCUGCAGGCGGAAGGCGGGGCUCACCGGCCGCUCCACCGGAGCCGUGCACCUGCCGCCCCUCCGUGCGGGACACCGCGCGACACCCUCCCGACCUCCUGGCUCAGCCCCCACCGGCAGCGGGGAAAGAAGGAGCCCCGGGGUCACAGCCCGGACGGAGCCCCGCGCCAGCCCCCGUGCUGCGAGGAGAGGGCCCCGGCCGCCAGCGGGCCACGUCCACGCGGGGCCACGUCGUGGGCUCCGCGCCCGGCUCACCGGCGGCCUGUUGUCACCAGCGCUGCCGCCUCCUGCUGGCCUGGCGGGAGCCCGCGCCGCCCCUCGCCCCUGCGCCCCGCGCCACGGGCUGCACCCGCCACCCCUGCCCUUGCUUGUCCGCUCGAGCGCCGACGCCCGCCUCUCCCCGUCCAGCAAACACUAGGCGCCUUCAGGCCAGUGCGGGGGCCUGUGUGCCCCUCAGCCCAGUGCCCUGGCACGUGCACAGCGAACACACCCUGCCGCGAGGCACCUGUGCCCUCCGGGGCGGGGGCAGCCGGGCAUCAGUUGUAA
rnacentral:lncRNA from 1 species